UCGAUUCCAUGAUCAAUUUUAUUUUAGCAUUUAAAACUGUUCAUUCUGUUGUCAUAAAUGCAAGGACGUCUGCAAUUAAAACGUAAAAAAAAAUAUUGCCAAAAGAGAAAUGCAAAAACUAAGGUGAAUUUUCCGUAGAGACUGACAUUCAAUCACUAGGUGGCGUAUCGCGAUAGAAUGCUUCUCUCUCAUUGGUUAGAUUUUUAGUAGAAGAAAGAGGGACAAAAUGGCGAAGAAAACACCAAGAACUUGCUCAAGAAAAACAACAGAGAUGAGAAGAUCUUUUGACUCUACACAGAAGAAAGGCACCCCAAACGACAGAUUAGAUACAGAUAUCCAUGGAACAAAUCAUCUGAAAACUAAGAGAGGAUGAAGAAUACUUCUGUUAAAAAGUUGAAGUAACUGAUGAGCAGAUCAAUCCAACUUGAACAUGAUAUCAUUUCUCCAAUGAUGAAAACAAGUCUCUUUAUACUCAAGCAUUGAUGUUUUUAAAGUCAACUGAAACAGGUCAUAC